rnacentral:tRNA from 1 species
AAUUGAAACCAAAAUAGAGGUAUAUUACUGUUAAUAAUAUUAUUGAAACUUUUUCCAAUU